UACGUAGGGUGCAAGCGUUUGUCCGGAUUUAUUGGGCGUAAAGGGCUCGUAGGCGGCCUGUCGCGUCGGGAGUGAAAGCCCACUGCUUAACGGUGGGUCUGCUUCCGGUACGGGCGGGCUGGAGUAUGGCAGGGGAGACUGGAAUUCCUGGUGUAGCGGUGGAAUGCGCAGAUAUCAGGAGGAACACCGGUGGCGAAGGCGGGUCUCUGGGCCAUUACUGACGCUGAGGAGCGAAAGCGUGGGGAGCGAACAGG
rnacentral:rRNA from 1 species